AACGAACGCUGGCGGCAGGCCUAACACAUGCAAGUCGAACGCCCAGUAAUGGGAGUGGCGCACGGGUGCGUAACGCGUGGGAAUAUGCCCUUAACUACGGGACAACGUCGGGAAACUGACGCUAAUACCGUAUAAUGUCUUCGGACCAAAGAUUUAUCGGUCAGGGAUUAGCCCGCGUUAGAUUAGCUAGUUGGUGAGGUAACGGCUCACCAAGGCAACGAUCUAUAGCUGGUCUGAGAGGAUGAUCAGCCACACUGGAACUGAGACACGGUCCAGACUCCGACGGGAGGCAGCAGUGAGGAAUAUGGACAAUGGGGGAAACCCUGAUCCAGCCAUGCCGCGUGAGUGACGAAGGCCUUCGGGUUGUAAAGCUCUUUUAACGGUGAAGAUAAUGACGGUAGCCGUAGAAAAAGCCCCGGCUAAAUUCGUGCCAGCCGCCGCGGUAA
rnacentral:rRNA from 1 species